GGGCAUAUCUAGGAGUUACAUUAAUAACUUUUGCUGCAUCUAGUGACACAGUUUUGGCAAUCACAGCCCCCCAACCUUCAUCAAAUGCCCUCUUCAUAACCGUAUAGUUAGUUCCUGGCGGACCCGACCCGAUCACAAACGGGUUGGGCAUGUGCAACCCAUUGACCGUCACACUGAGAUCCGGCUCCGCCUGAGCCUCGCCGGCGGCAACCACUCUGAACCCAAGUCUAGUUCGACGAGUCAAAUCCGUCCGGGACCGAUUCAG
rnacentral:misc_RNA from 1 species